UACGGAGGGAGCUAGCGUUGUUCGGAAUUACUGGGCGUAAAGCGCGCGUAGGCGGCUUUGUAAGUUAGAGGUGAAAGCCCGGGGCUCAACCCCGGAACUGCCUUUAAGACUGCAUCGCUUGAAUCCGGGAGAGGUGAGUGGAAUUCCGAGUGUAGAGGUGAAAUUCGUAGAUAUUCGGAAGAACACCAGUGGCGAAGGCAGCGAACUGGCGCUUUAUCGACGCUCAUGCACGAAAGCAUGGGGAUCAAACAGG
rnacentral:rRNA from 1 species